UACGGAGGGUGCAAGCGUUAUCCGGAUUCACUGGGUUUAAAGGGUGCGUAGGUGGGCAGGUAAGUCAGUGGUGAAAUCUCCGGGCUUAACCCGGAAACUGCCGUUGAUACUAUCUGUCUUGAAUGUAGUGGAGGUGAGCGGAAUAUGUCAUGUAGCGGUGAAAUGCUUAGAGAUGACAUAGAACACCUAUUGCGAAGGCAGCUUACUACGCCUAUAUUGACGCUGAGGCACGAAAGCGUGGGGAUCAAACAGG
rnacentral:rRNA from 1 species